rnacentral:misc_RNA from 1 species
GCAAGCUGCUCUAAUGGUGUAGAUUUAACAGAAUUCUCAUGAAUCUCCAAUGCCACAAAUUCUUUAGCCAAAGUAAAGGUAGUGCUUCUUGAUUUCACAAACUGCCUCCAGCACAAUGCUAGUUUUAUUGAAAGUAAUUCCCCUUCCUUGUUGCAGCUGGUGCAAGCAGAACUAUGAGGGCUUCCUCUUUGUUUCAUAUAUUCGGCCCUCUGAUCCUUGGCCUUCUUAAGACGAUUUUCCAACCCUUCUUUAAUUCG